CUGUGACGUCACUUUUGGUCCUAAGAAGGUAAACAACAACGACAAGAAGAAGAAGACGAAAAAUGUUGGGACUACGUGGACGUGUUCGGCACCGCGCAGCCCGACGAGCCCGGACCGCACCCAGCGUCGCCGGCAGAACCACUCGGAGCUCCGCCAGGGGCAGCGGCGACAGAACGCGGCCGAGCUUCCGGAGCUCUUCCUCGAACACUGGCAGCGUUGAGUUCUGACCUGCGAUGGGUGUGGAACAUCGUUAAGGAACCGAACCGGUUUGGGACACGACGUUGUCGGCGUCCGGGCGGGGUCCACGGCCCUCCCUCGAACCAUCACGGCGGACGCGGCCGGCGGCGCCUCUCGACGGACAAGCACUCGCAGAUAAAUUUUCUGUCACUUUUAACGAUUUGAGAGAAAAAUCUGAGAAGUAAACCCCCUGCCUCCUGUUUUAUAAUUUUUUUUUGUAUACAUGAUUUUUAUAAUCUCAUGAAGUUUGCAUAGUUUUUCAUUUAAAGCCCCACUGUCAUGAAAUGCAUGAUUUUUAGUAGGUUAUUAAUGGAGAAAAAAAAAGCACCCGGAAUGGACCCAUCUGUUUUUUUUCACCACACAACACGAUUUUGACAGAUAUGGCUUUUUGUCACUCCCGCCAUGAAAAUCCUCUCGAGGGAUUUGUUUUCGAGAAGAAGCAGGAAGUGACGUUAGUAGCAGACGUCCACUCUGGUGGUCUCGUAUGUUUCUACUAGUUUUACCUGCUGGAAGGUAGCUAGCUCGUUGUUCUUUCGUGUUACCCAAAAUGCCGGCUCGUUGUAUUGCUGGGUAUAGUUUGA